rnacentral:tRNA from 1 species
GCGGACGAGGCGACUGGUGUCGCAGCCGGUGCCCAGCCGGUCCAGGGCGGUUCGAUCCCGACCCGUCCGCUCCA